GACGAACGCUGGCGGCGUGCUUAACACAUGCAAGUCGAACGGAAAGGCCCUGCUUUUGUGGGGUGCUCGAGUGGCGAACGGGUGAGUAACACGUGAGUAACCUGCCCUUGACUUUGGGAUAACUUCAGGAAACUGGGGCUAAUACCGGAUAGGAUCUCCUGCUGCAUGGUGGGGGUUGGAAAGUUUCGGCGGUUGGGGAUGGACUCGCGGCUUAUCAGCUUGUUGGUGGGGUAGUGGCUUACCAAGGCUUUGACGGGUAGCCGGCCUGAGAGGGUGAACGGCGACAUUGGGACUGAGAGACGGCGCAGACGGCUACGGGAGGCAGCAGUGGGGAAUAUUGCACAAUGGGCGGAAGCCAGAUGCAGAAACGCCGCGUGCGGGAUGACGGCCUUCGGGUUGUAAACCGCUUUCGACUGUGACGAAGAGUGAGUGACGGUAAUGGGUAAAGAAGCACCGGCUAACUACGUG
rnacentral:rRNA from 1 species